CCAUCCUGCCCACUUUGGGCGUUUCCUCCCUAGACUUACGACCGUGUCGUGUAAACGAUGCGGUCUUUUUUUAUCCAGGA
rnacentral:sRNA from 1 species